AACGAACGCUGGCGGCAUGCCUAACACAUGCAAGUCGAACGAGACCUUCGGGUCUAGUGGCGCACGGGUGCGUAACGCGUUGGAUCCUGCCCUUAGGUUCGGCAUAACGCCCCGAAAGGGGUGCUAAUACCGGAUAAUGUCUUCGGACCAAAGAUUUAUCGCCUUUGGAUGGGCCCGCGUUGGCUUAGCUAGUUGGUAGGGUAAAAGCCUACCAAGGCGACGAUCCAUAGCUGGUAAGAGAGGAUGAUCAGCCACACUGGUACUGAGACACGGCCCAGAAUCGUACGGGAGGCAGCAGUGGGGGAUAUUGGAAAAUGGGCGAAAGGAUGAUCCAGCAAGGCCGGGUGAGUGAUGAAGGCCGUAGGGUUGUAAAGCAAUUUUACACGGGAUGAUAAUGACAGUACCGGGAGAAUAAGCUCCGGCUAACUCCGUG
rnacentral:rRNA from 1 species